rnacentral:lncRNA from 1 species
CAACAUUCACAGAAUUUCCGAAAAUUGGGGCGUUACAACUCUACCCUCCUUAAAGAAAUUUUGUCCUCGAAAUUUACCUAAUCCAAACAGAUGAGGGUAUUGCUGUUGCAUCGUCUCUUCUGGCUCCCAAACUCAGAAGUUUCCCCUUCCUUAACUUGUUGAAAACGAGCGACCAAAGACUCAUCGUUCAACUGUUUUUCCUUAAUCUGAUCCAACCAGGUUGGCCUCACUUGCAACUCAGCCAACAGACUUCCAUCAUCAUACAGACUCAGACGAGCAAACAUUGCUCUCAGAUCAGAUACAGCUCUACGACUUAGAGCAUCGGCUACCACAUUAGCCUUGCUUGGGUGAUACUCGAUCGAACA